AUGCUUCAACAGCAAAUAUACUAAAAUUGGAACAGUAUACAGAAGAUAAGCAUGUCCCCUGAGCAAGGAUGACAUGCAAAUUUGUGAAAUUUUCCAUAUUUUU